UAAUGUUUUUAUAAGAUAAUACGAGAACACCUCAAAAUAACUUAUUUAUAUUGUUUAUGGCGGGAUCUUGUGAGAAGACUAAGAAUGCAUGUGUGGACGUUUUGUCAAUCUUUGCUCUGAAUUCUGUUUGGGUCUGUUUGUUUCAGGUCAGUCCUCAUCUUCUGAAUUAAUGAGCUGAGUGUUUCUGCGCAAGACGUCCGAAAGCCUGAGUUCCUCUGAAAAUCAAUGGAUCUGCGGAUGGACUGCAGUUCUCUGCUGCUUUCUUUUUUUGCUCUGUGUGUGUGAUAAAGCGUCUCUCUUUCUCCAGGUUUGAGUGAUUGUGCUGUGAAAUCCCAUCCAUAUCUGAGCUCGAAUCAAACACCUGAUGGAGGAUUGACCGGCCGAGCGAGAGUGUGUAUCUCCUGUAACCCCGGCCUCUUUUAUUGAUUUCUUCUCUCAGGUUGAUUAUAAACGAUGGCUCUCCUCGCAGCUGUCUUCACCGGAUCCUCCGGCCCAUCCGUCUCCAUAGAAGUUAUUUCCCAUAAUGCCUCUGUCCCUCGGAGCGCGAGCCGCUGACGGAGACGGAGAGCGGCCGGCCGCGGGAAGGACAUUUUUCUCUUUCGGUUUCCGGGCAGAUGUCAUCAUCGGUUCAUCAAAGGCUGUCGCUGAAAGAUUGAUUGACGGCUUCAUCCACCAAUCAGAGACGGGUUUCACAGACUAGUCCGGACUGAACUCUUUUAAGCGACGGAUCUUAAAACAGGAGUGUCAACAAGCUCCCGGCUGCUUCAGGAAGAGAGCGUUUCAGCAGCUCAGCAGACGCAGAGAAUCAAGACGCUAACUGGGACUGUCCCGAGGCGCCGGGCUUAGAGAGGCUUGAUUGAGUGAAGAAAAAACCCCACAGCGGCUUGGAAGGAUGCUCAACCCCCAUCUCCCCAUUAAAACUAGAAAAGAGCCCACACGUGUCCAUCGGUUCCGAGUGUCGAAUCCAGGCUGUUCUAAUGAUGGCCUGCAGCGCUGGAUUACUCCGAAGCGGCUGGAGCUUUCUGUGAUGAAUGCUGAGGAGCACACAGAUGAAAGUCAAUAGUGCAGGCUGUUAUUGUGUGUCGGAGCUGAGAGAGGAGCUUCAAUGCGACCGUGACCUAUAUUUACUGCUCGAGUGCGUCUCGCUCGUGUUACGCUGAGAGAGAGAGAGAGAGAGAGCCAUCUGGUAAACCGCAGGCUUCACAUCCAUCACACACACACACACACACACACACACUGCAUGUCAACCUAGUUAAGGCAAAACACCACGGGGUGAAACAUUUAAAGGAACAGUCCGCUGCAAAUCAACUCAAACCUCAGAUAAUCAGGUUUGGAGAAAUGUGUCGCUGCGUCAGUGUUUUAGCAAUGGAUGUGAAUGGGUGCCGUCACAAUCCACAGCACUCCAGACAAAAAGUGUGCGUUUAAAGGGCUCACGUGAUGCCAUUUGACCUUUCCUUUCUCUCUAAAGCCUCAAAGAUUCAAGUUUAAAAACCAAAGAGAUAUUGUUUAUAAAAGUUGUGACUCGUUUAAACACGCCCCCACUUCUCUACAUCACAGAGUGGUUUAUUUGCAUAACUCCGCCCAAAUGUUUACUCACAGAAAGAAGGCGGAGCUAUUAUUCUGUGUGUAAUGUCGCCACGGGAACGUAUGAAAUGUUACAUUUGAGGGGACUUUAGAAGUCAGCUGACAAACGUUCUUAAAACAUUCUGGAAAGGUUCUCAAAGACGAAAACAACAAGUAUUAAUGGAACAUUUUUAUAAAGUUCGCUGGCCUGCUAUAAUGAUGUUAUAACAUUAUGAUCUUUUUCCCCCUGAAAACAUUUUUGGUUUAAUGUUAUUACUUGUUUUUCAAAAAUAACGUUCCCAUAAUGUUUGUAAAAUGAUAGAAUGGAAUGUUUCCUUAACGUUUGAAGAAACAUUUAAACGUUUUUUAGAAUAA